rnacentral:lncRNA from 1 species
CCUCCUUCAUAAGCCUCGAGGCACUGCAUCCAACAGGCUCCUCUCUCUCUCUCCUUCAGCAACACCGUACCAACAGCACUGCAUGGCAAAAGGGAGAGUCUCCUGAACGUGUGCUGCAAGAGCGUCUUCUUUCUGCCUCCGGAGUCGGACAUGCCAGAGACAGAAAGAGCGCUCUACGCCAAGGUAUGUGCUGGGUGAGGUACCGGCACCCCCAGUCCUGCUGAGCUGCUGCCUUGCUUCCCCGUGCUGACACAACCAGAGACCAGUGCAGGGCCGGGGCCCAGAUUUGCUUUCCCAGCCUCACCCUUUCCCCUUCCCGGGCAUGAUCCCGUGCUGUAGGAUGUCUGCACGCAGCGGCUUUUUAGCCCCAAAGCCACCCCUGAACUCCAGAGGGGCUCAGAGCCAGCUCCUGAGGGUGAGGAGGGCCACAGAAAUAAUUCGAUGCUCUUCUGUCCUCCCUGCAGACUAUGGAUGCCUUGGACACCAUGCUGGAGGGCUUCGUACUCAGCUGUCCCAUCACCAGUUUCAACACAGAGAUGCAGAAUAUGUUGAAGGUUUGGCAUUUGCAAAGAAUUUCCAAAGAAUCCUCUCAGGUCACAUUUGCAGACCACUGUCAACCCAGCAACUUCUCUCCUCGCAGGUGAUGCUGGACUUUGCUGGCUCCAAAAACUCAACUGUGCGCGAGAGAGCUGUGAGGAGGAUUGAGAGGCUGAUUACUUUCAUCCGCUGGUAUUUGGUGACCAAGAUCUUAGAGAACUUUGAAAUCUAUAGCGAAGAUGAGCCCAAAGAUUUCAACCUGUGCAUCCCCAUCCUGGGCAAGCUGCUGGGCCACCUCUUGCUUUUCAGCAGUGGCGAUGAUUCCAUGGGACACGCAGCUUUGAAAAGUCUUUUUCACAUGUACACAGUCGUCACAGAAGGAAGAGGUAAGAAGGUGUGGUGGGCAAUGUCCAUCUGCACACAGACAUCUGCUGGUUUGUCUACCUGUUCUCCCCGAGUAUUGUGAAGGAUUGUUUUUGUGCUUGGUGGAGGCUGCCCACAGAAUUCUGCCAGGUUCCCUGACCUCCUCUGCUCCUCACAGCAGCUUCCCGCAGCAUUCUGGCUAUCGUUUUCCGCAGAAGCUAGACACUCACCUGAUGUCCAGGAGCAGUUCUCUGCUGCUGUCCUUCCCAACCCUCCCCAGAUCACCUACCACACUAUUUUGUGGUCUCCCCCAGUCUAAGCCAUCAAUCGAUGAGCACUUCCCAAACCACAUCUUCCCUGAGGAGUGAACAGCAGAGCCAGCCGUGCAUCACCAGGGAUGGUGACGCCCUCCAGAAUGCUCCCUGACUGUUUGCUCCCUGCCGUCUUAAAGGCAGGUGUCAGUGGGCUUCCUGCACAUCCUGACCCCGAG